rnacentral:sRNA from 1 species
UCCUAAACCCGAUUGCAGUGGAAAGCCCGCAGCGCAGCGAGGACUUGAAACCUAAAGCGGGACUGAAC